rnacentral:rRNA from 1 species
AUUGAACGCUGGCGGAAUGCUUUACACAUGCAAGUCGAACGGCAGCACGGACUUCGGUCUGGUGGCGAGUGGCGAACGGGUGAGUAAUGCAUCGGAACGUGCCCAAUCGUGUGGGAUAACGUAGCGAAAGUUACGCUAAUACCGCAUACGAUCAAAGGAUGAAAGCGGGGGAUGGCAAGACCUUGCGCUAAUGGAGCGGCUGAUGCUCGAUUAGGUAGUUGGUGGGGUAAAGGCUCACCAAGCCGACGAUCUAUAGCUGGUCUGAGAGGAUGAUCAGCCACACUGGGACUGAGACACGGCCCAGACUCCUACGGGAGGCAGCAGUGGGGAAUUUUGGACAAUGGGCGCAAGCCUGAUCCAGCCAUUCCGCGUGCAGGAUGAAGGCCCUCGGGUUGUAAACUGCUUUUGUACAGAACGAAAAGCUCUGGGUUAAUACCCUGGGGUCAUGACGGUACUGUAAGAAUAAGCACCGGCUAACUACGUGCCAGCCGCCGCCGUAACAC